UUAAAUUGAAGAGUUUGAUCAUGGCUCAGAUUGAACGCUGGCGGCAGGCCUAACACAUGCAAGUCGAACGGUAACAGGACACAGCUUGCUGUCUCGCUGACGAGUGGCGGACGGGUGAGUAA
rnacentral:rRNA from 1 species